UACGAAGGGUGCAAACGUUGCUCGGAAUUACUGGGCGUAAAGGGCGCGUAGGCUGUGCUGUAAGUCAGGCGUGAAAGCCCCGGGCUCAACCUGGGAAUUGCGCUUGAUACUGCGGCGCUGGAAGGUGGGAGAGGAUGGCGGAAUUCCCAGUGUAGAGGUGAAAUUCGUAGAUAUUCGCAAGAACACCAGUGGCGAAGGCGGCUUACUGGUCCGGUUCUGACGCUGAGGCGCGAAAGCGUGGGGAGCAAACAGGG
rnacentral:rRNA from 1 species